rnacentral:rRNA from 1 species
ACGCACGCUGGCGGCGUGCUUCACACCUGCAAGUCGAACGGAAAGGCCCAGCUUGCUGGGUACUCGAGUGGCGAACGGGUGAGUAACACGUGGGUGAUCUGCCCCUGACUUUGGGAUAAGCCUGGGAAACUGGGUCUAAUACCGGAUAUGACCUUACAUCGCAUGGUGUUUGGUGGAAAGCUUUUGCGGUUGGGGAUGGGCCCGCGGCCUAUCAGCUUGUUGGUGGGGUAAUGGCCUACCAAGGCGACGACGGGUAGCCGACCUGAGAGGGUGAUCGGCCACACUGGGACUGAGACACGGCCCAGACUCCUACGGGAGGCAGCAGUGGGGAAUAUUGCACAAUGGGCGCAAGCCUGAUGCAGCGACGCCGCGUGAGGGAUGACGGCCUUCGGGUUGUAAACCUCUUUCACCAGGGACGAAGCGUGAGUGACGGUACCUGGAGAAGAAGCACCGGCCAACUACGUG